rnacentral:rRNA from 1 species
UGCAAGUCGAACGAUGAAGCCCAGCUUGCUGGGUGGAUUAGUGGCGAACGGGUGAGUAACACGUGAGUAACCUGCCCUUGACUCUGGGAUAAGCACUGGAAACGGUGUCUAAUACCGGAUAUUUCAGCUGGCCGCAUGGUCUGGUUGUGGAAAGAAUUUUGGUCAAGGAUGGACUCGCGGCCUAUCAGGUUGUUGGUGAGGUAAUGGCUCACCAAGCCUACGACGGGUAGCCGGCCUGAGAGGGUGACCGGCCACACUGGGACUGAGACACGGCCCAGACUCCUACGGGAGGCAGCAGUGGGGAAUAUUGCACAAUGGGCGAAAGCCUGAUGCAGCAACGCCGCGUGAGGGACGACGGCCUUCGGGUUGUAAACCUCUUUUAGUAGGGAAGAAGCGAAAGUGACGGUACCUGCAGAAAAAGCACCGGCUAACUACGUGCCAGCAGCCGCGGUAAUACGUAGGGUGCAAGCGUUGUCCGGAAUUAUUGGGCGUAAAGAGCUCGUAGGCGGUUUGUCGCGUCUGCUGUGAAAACUGGAGGCUCAACCUCCAGCCUGCAGUGGGUACGGGCAGACUAGAGUGCGGUAGGGGAGAUUGGAAUUCCUGGUGUAGCGGUGGAAUGCGCAGAUAUCAGGAGGAACACCGAUGGCGAAGGCAGAUCUCUGGGCCGUAACUGACGCUGAGGAGCGAAAGCAUGGGGAGCGAACAGGAUUAGAUACCCUGGUAGUCCAUGCCGUAAACGUUGGGAACUAGAUGUGGGGGCCAUUCCACGGUCUCCGUGUCGCAGCUAACGCAUUAAGUUCCCCGCCUGGGGAGUACGGCCGCAAGGCUAAAACUCAAAGGAAUUGACGGGGGCCCGCACAAGCGGCGGAGCAUGCGGAUUAAUUCGAUGCAACGCGAAGAACCUUACCAAGGCUUGACAUAUACGAGAACGGGCCAGAAAUGGUCAACUCUUUGGACACUCGUAAACAGGUGGUGCAUGGUUGUCGUCAGCUCGUGUCGUGAGAUGUUGGGUUAAGUCCCGCAACGAGCGCAACCCUCGUUCUAUGUUGCCAGCACGUUAUGGUGGGAACUCAUAGGA